GACGAACGCUGGCGGCGUGCUUAACACAUGCAAGUCGAACGAAGAGCGAUGGAAGCUUGCUUCUAUCAAUCUUAGUGGCGAACGGGUGAGUAACGCGUAAUCAACCUGCCCUUCAGAGGGGGACAACAGUUGGAAACGACUGCUAAUACCGCAUACGAUCUAAACUCGGCAUCGAGGAUAGAUGAAAGGUGGCCUCUACAUGUAAGCUAUCACUGAAGGAGGGGAUUGCGUCUGAUUAGCUAGUUGGAGGGGUAACGGCCCACCAAGGCGAUGAUCAGUAGCCGGCCUGAGAGGAUGAACGGCCACAUUGGGACUGAGACACGGCCCAGACUCCUACGGGAGGCAGCAGUGGGGAAUCUUCCGCAAUGGACGAAAGUCUGACGGAGCAACGCCGCGUGAGUGAUGACGGCCUUCGGGUUGUAAAGCUCUGUUAAUCGGGACGAAAGGCCUUCUUGCGAAUAGUGAGAAGGAUUGACGGUACCGGAAGAGAAAGCCACGGCUAACUACGUG
rnacentral:rRNA from 1 species